rnacentral:rRNA from 1 species
AAUGAACGCUGGCGGCGUGCUUAACACAUGCAAGUCGGAUGUGCAGCAAUGUGCAUGGCAGACGGGUGAGUAACGCGUAGGGAACCUACCUUUUGCGGGGAAUAACGUUCCGAAGGAAUGGUAAUACCGCAUGUGAUCCAUGACUGGGAUGUUGUGGAUGAAAGCCGGGGAUCGAAAGACCUGGCGCAAGAAGAGGGUCCUGCGUCUGAUUAGCUAGUUGGCAGGGUAAUGGCCUACCAAGGCGACGAUCAGUAGCCGGCCUGAGAGGGUGAUCGGCCACACUGGAACUGAGACACGGUCCAGACUCCUACGGGAGGCAG